rnacentral:sRNA from 1 species
GUGGCCAGUCGCAUUGGCAAUCGCGCACGGAAUUUUUGUGAUUGAACAUUGAAGUUAAUUAAAUGUAUAACUUGCAAUAGAAAUGUGCGUAAAACAACAAUAAUAAUUGACGCCCGCGGGCAACAAUAAAGUGUACAGUGCGCGAACUGCCCACCGGAAUAUGAAGCAACAACGCGCGUUGCGGGCGGCCGUGGAAGUAACGAUUUUUGCAUGAGUCGCGCUUGGCCAAAAAAAAAAAAAUCUCUUCAAGAAGCCAGAGACGCAAGGUGCGGCAGCUAUAUUUGUUGAUAAGACGGCCCAGUCAAUGUCUGAUAGUGCAGCAACUGAAAGUGGGUCUCUCAUAUGACUGAUAAUGGCAGUCAACGCUGCCUGCUGCAGCAACAACAUAAACAACAACAACAACGACAACAGUAGCAACAACAACAACAACAACAAGGGAAACGGCAGCAACUACGAUGGCCAAGCAAAAUGAAUAUUUGAAAAUUUGGAAACAUAUCAAAUGGCGAAUUGAAAAGUGAAACCAAAAUCGAAAAGUGAAAGGAAAAGAGAAAUUCCACAAAAGAAAAAGACAGAAAACAAUUAGUACAUUUUUUACGCCGGGUACUUAAUAGUUGUUGAAAUUAACAAGUGCCAUACGCGAGUGUUGAAAUCGAGUUUAUAUAGAUAUUUAGUUCUAGAACCUAUUCCAGCUUACGAAUAACACAUAUCCCAAAAGCAACGCUGCCAAUU